UACAGAGGGGGCAAGCGUUAUUCGGAAUUAUUGGGCGUAAAGGGCGCGUAGGCGGCCUGCUAAGUCGAACGUGAAAUCCCUGGGCUCAACCCAGGAACUGCGUCCGAUACUGGUUGGCUUGAAUCCGGGAGAGGGAUGUGGAAUUCCAGGUGUAGCGGUGAAAUGCGUAGAUAUCUGGAGGAACACCGGUGGCGAAGGCGACAUCCUGGACCGGCAUUGACGCUGAGGCGCGAAAGCCAGGGGAGCAAACGGG
rnacentral:rRNA from 1 species